rnacentral:rRNA from 1 species
CACUUCGGUGAGAGUGGCAGACGGGUGAGUAACGCGUGGGAAUUUACCCAGCUCUACGGAACAACUCAGGGAAACUUGAGCUAAUACCGUAUACGCCCUUUUGGGGAAAGAUUUAUCGGAGUUGGAUGAGCCCGCGUUUGAUUAGCUAGUUGGUGGGGUAAUGGCCUACCAAGGCGACGAUCAAUAGCUGGUCUGAGAGGAUGAUCAGCCACACUGGGACUGAGACACGGCCCAG